AUACAUUUUCAAUUUUGUCCAUGAUGAUUUAUUAUAAACAAAAUUUUGAUGAACAUCUUCGUAAUUGUUCAGUAUGAUGGAUGAAAUAUGUUUCUGUUGGUUUUACUUAAAAACAACUCUGUGAUGUUUGGCUAUUUUUUGUGAGGUCUGUCUGUCUCUGUUUCUGCCUGUGGGUGGAGCUAAUCAGUGCUGUCACACUCACCUGUGACCACCUGUUCGUUAGUCUCACUGGUGUCACCUGGUGUCCUGGGUAUAGUGGCUAGUCUUCCUGCUAAGUUCCUGUUUGCUUCUGCCUGCUCUUGGACUCCACACUGAGCAGUGGGACCAUUCCUCUGCGAUUUGCAGUUUCCAGCCCAACCCCCCUCUCCAGGAGAAGCGUGCACACCUCCAUCCUCCCUCUCCCCGCUGCUGCGCUCAGCACUGGCGGAGGGUCAGCGCGGAGAUGAGACGACGAGGCAGACGAGAAUAUGUAAUUGACACAUUGAGCAGAGAAGAAGAAGCAGAAGUGAGAAAGAGUUGGUGGACUGAGCAUCUCCGCAGUGGCUGAUAGAGCACCUUGAAGGUCGCAACUUUAAAAACCCGUGGCUGCCUGUUGUACGGCCUGUGUUUUCCCAGUCACCGUGUCGUUGCCAUUGCGGUCUGCUGGGAUUUCUGCCCCCCAGUCCUGGCUCAGCAAGAAGUUGACGAUCUCCGCAUGGCC